ACUUUUUUUCUAUUCACAAAUGUUCCAUUGCCGCUCACUCUCAGCAUGCAGCCAAACAAGGUUUCAUCUCCACCACAGAAAAACAAAAUAAAAGCUUCAUUCUUCCUUCUGCUUCCUCUUUAGCAUCUUCAAAGCAAUUAACAAUGGAAACAACAACAGAAUGGAAGGCCUCUUCCCUUCAGCAGGGGUUGCAGCUUUCAUCGGUAAGAGGUCCUGAAUGGCAAAAGUCAAAUAGUUAACUGUAAAUGAGAAUUUCCUUGUAAGGUAUAAUCUGGGAAUUGAAUUACACAUUGGCAUCAAUAAAAUCAUUGUUCUGGGAAUUUCCCAGUAGCUGAUAA